AUUUGAAUAGCUUAAUUUUAAAGCAUAAUAUUGAAGAUAUUAGGAUGGGAUUUAUCCCUUCAGAUA
rnacentral:tRNA from 1 species